GGAAAUAUAAAAACUGAACAACUUUUCUAGGUGUUAUAAAUAUUUAAGGCUGAAAUUUUCUUUGUCUUUGUGAUAUUAAUUUUUUUUGUCAUGAUUGCAAGUUUUUGAAAAAAUUCACCUUCACAGACUCUUUAAAAAUGGAUAAAGGCUGUUGCUAAUCGGUAUAAAAAAGGUAUGAAUAAAAUGUCUGAGAUUAUAUGAUUUGAUUUGAUUUUGUAAUGUGUGAUUUUCGUUGUGGAUUAAUUUCUGAAAUCAUUAUGGAUUGUGCUAAUUUCAUGUUUUUGCAUUUGGUUGAUGUUUGUUUUACAAGGAUUUUCUAUGAAUCUGUUUAUUAUCAGCGGUGUUGUCAAACUAUUUGGAUUAUAAAACUGUUUUCGUUUGGUUUUUAACUGAUUUGUUAAAAAAAAAAAUGCUAACAUUUUAUUGUUCUAAAGUGAUUAAACUCAUGUGUUUUCGUUUUGAUGCAAAGUUGGCAGUUUUGUUCUCUUUGAAUAUCAGUUUACUGUGACCAAUUGUCAUUUUGUUGGUGAAAAACUUUUUAAAUUAGAAGGCUAUUGUAACUUAGUUUUGCAGUUGCUGAUAAAAAAAAAAAAUAAUGUUUUUUAUAAUUGUAUUAAUACAUUUUGUUAGCUUUUUUGGUCUUCACAUUUUGUUUGGUAGCUUUUAUGCCCCUUGACAUUUGUUUUCCUAAGUGAAUCAUUUAAUGUCCAUGUUCAUUGAGAUGUUUUCUUUUGGUAUAAACCUAUAAUAAUUUUUUCUUUUUAAUUAUUGAUUACUAGAGCCAAUGCUAAUUUUAAAUUACUGAUUUUUUAAGUAUAGUUGUUACAUCUCGGAUUAACUGAUUGAUGUAGAAAGCUGCACUAUAGAGGUUGAUUUUUUAAAUACAUUGGACAACAUAAUUGUUUUAAUUAGUAAUGUAUUCUUUUACCUGUUUUUUAAAUAUUCAUGUUUUGUGAAAAACUAGACCUAGCAUUCGUGUUGUGUUUUCCGUGUUCGUGUCAUUUUUGUGUCAUACCUGAUAUCUUAACUGGUCGUGUCGUGUAACACUCGUUAAAAUAAACAGGUAAAAUGAUCCGACCGAAAAUUGACAGGAUAAUUUUAACAAGUAAUAUGAUCCGAUUCGUUACCUGGAAAGUAUAUUUUAAACCAAUAAAUAAUCAAAUGAAAAACAUAAUACUAAAUAAGUAUAUACAUAUUAUAUUGUCAUAUUCAAAAUAUAAAAACGCAUUUUUCUUUUAAGUAUAUUUUCGCUUACUUAAAUUGAUCAAAUGGUAAAAUUGGAAAAUAUUGGAAUAGAGAAGGGGGUUUUUCGUCCAAAAAAGUUCUAAUAAUAUAAGUGAAAUAGAAUCCAACGGUACAGAUUCACUCUAUCUUACCGCUGUUAUUUAAAUAAAGUCUUUAAUAGUUUUUUAAUUAACGUAGAAGUGUAAAAAAUAUAGAAAAAAAAUAUAUAAAUGCUCGUAAUGACAAAUUUUACAACUUUCAUGAAGAGUUUAACUUCGAAAUUUGCUACUAUAAUUAUAUAAAUUAUAGAUCAAAAUUUAACCGUUGAUUGUUGUUUAUAUUUACGCUUCAUUGUUCUUAUCAAUUUUUUUAUUUUUUUAUUUUUUUUUUCAGAUUUUCCUUUUUGAAAACAUGAUCUAUUAGAGGAUGCAGGAAGAUGAACGGUUUGGAUCGUUGAUAUUAUAUUCAGAGUUUUAUGGUUAGUGAAAAUAUUGCUUGAUGUUUAUAAAGUUUCUACAAACUAUAUGACAUCGACUUAUAUAUCAAUUAACCAUAAAUAUUGAAGCAUGAUAUCAAAG
rnacentral:lncRNA from 1 species